AUUUUUGUCAAGUAGGCACCACACUCAAUGUGGACCCCAAUGGGGGACUUGAACUCAACGACCCUGAGAUCAAGACCUAAGCUGAGAUCAAGACUGUCUGAUGCUUAA